rnacentral:rRNA from 1 species
CCUACGGGGCGCACCAGUGGGGAAUAUUGGACAAUGGGCGAAAGCCUGAUCCAGCAAUGCCGCGUGUGUGAAGAAGGUCUUCGGAUCGUAAAGCACUUUCGACGGGGACGAUGAUGACGGUACCCGUAGAAGAAGCCCCGGCUAACUUCGUGCCAGCAGCCGCGGUAAUACGAAGGGGGCUAGCGUUGCUCGGAAUGACUGGGCGUAAAGGGCGCGUAGGCGGUUUAUGCAGUCAGAUGUGAAAUCCCCGGGCUUAACCUGGGAACUGCAUUUGAGACGCAUAGACUAGAGGUCGAGAGAGGGUUGUGGAAUUCCCAGUGUAGAGGUGAUAUUCGUAGAUAUUGGGAAGAACACCGGUGGCGAAGGCGGCAACCUGGUUCGAUACUGACGCUGAGGCGUGAAAGCGUGGGGAGCAAACAGGAUUAGAUACCCGGGUAGUC